GGGGGCGACCGGUUUCGACGCGUGUCGCGACGCCUUCGGUGCAUGUCGAGGAGCAGAUUCCCUCGUAAAUCCAGCUGCACAAUGAUAGUUGCCAACGACGACAACUACGCACUAGCCGCCUAAUACCGGUUAGUCCUUUCACCUUUGCUUGAUUGUGGGCGGGGAUUCGAAAGGUCAUCUCACACAGUAUCGCGGUGAAGCAUGUCUGUGGCGGAAUCGUUAAACUUAAAGCAGAAUCGCCGUACGUUUUCCCAGUUUGCCGGGUAGCGUCCGGCUAAAUCAAAAGCGCAAACUAAACAUGUAGACCCGGAGUGUAGAGGGCUUGCGGACGGGGGUUCGAUUCCCCCCGCCUCCACCA
rnacentral:tmRNA from 1 species